UGAAUUUAAAAGAUCAUUCUUCGUAUAACCUCAACGAUAUGGGUUGGGGGUCUCUACAAGGUUCCGUAAAAACCUAGCUACGAAGAGAGUGCACAAGUGU
rnacentral:ncRNA from 2 species